AGUGAUUCCUCCAGCUCAGCCUCCCAAGUAGCUGGGAUUACAGGAUUCCAUAUCAGGAUACCACAGGACACUGAGUCCUUAGGUUCUUCCCGGCUGUGAUCGUUUCUCAGGCCUACAUUGUUUUUGAUGACCUUGAUGGUUUUAGGGGGUACUAGUCAGGUGUUUUUGGGAACUGUUUCUCAGCUGAGGUUUGUCUGAUGUAGUGGGAUUAUUAGUUUUGGGAGGGAACAUGUCAAGGUAAAAUGCCAUUCUCAUCCUGUCGUAUGAUACACACUUUCAACUUGACUGAUCACUGCUCACACUGGCCUUGAUCACCUGGCUGAGACAGUGUUUGUUAGGUUUCUCCAACGUGAAGUUACUCUUUUUCCUCCUUUGCUAUACUGAGUUCUUGGUAGGAUGUCAUUAUGUGAAGCCCACAGUUUAGAAGUGGGGAGUGAUGCUCUGCUUCCUGGAGUGUCUGAUCUCCUUUUGAAAUGAUUUUUCAUGCUGAACACAGAGUAAUUAAAGUAAGAAAAAUACGGAUAUUGAAUGACUAGUUGCAAGAAGUCCAUUAUGACAUCUGACAUGAAAAAUUAUCUAUCUACCUGUCUAUUAAACGAUUAUAUCUGUGUAUACAAACAUUAAAUACUAAGCUAUGCA
rnacentral:lncRNA from 1 species